rnacentral:rRNA from 1 species
CACGGGUGCUUGCACCUGGUGGCGAGUGGCGAACGGGUGAGUAAUACAUCGGAACAUGUCCUGUAGUGGGGGAUAGCCCGGCGAAAGCCGGAUUAAUACCGCAUACGAUCUACGGAUGAAAGCGGGGGACCUUCGGGCCUCGCGCUAUAGGGUUGGCCGAUGGCUGAUUAGCUAGUUGGUGGGGUAAAGGCCCACCAAGGCGACGAUCAGUAGCUGGUCUGAGAGGACGACCAGCCACACUGGGACUGAGACACGGCCCAGACUCCUACGGGAGGCAGCAGUGGGGAAUUUUGGACAAUGGGCGAAAGCCUGAUCCAGCAAUGCCGCGUGUGUGAAGAAGGCCUUCGGGUUGUAAAGCACUUUUGUCCGGAAAGAAAUCCUGAGGGCUAAUAUCCUUCGGGGAUGACGGUACCGGAAGAAUAAGCACCGGCUAACUACGUGCCAGCAGCCGCGGUAAUACGUAGGGUGCGAGCGUUAAUCGGAAUUACUGGGCGUAAAGCGUGCGCAGGCGGUUUUGUUAAGACCGAUGUGAAAUCCCCGGGCUCAACCUGGGGAACUGCAUUGGUGACUGGCAAGCUAGAGUAUGGCAGAGGGGGGUAGAAAUUCCACGUGUAGCAGUGAAAUGCGUAGAGAUGUGGAGGAAUACCCGAUGGCGAAGGCAGCCCCCUUGGGCCCAAUACUUGACGCUUCAUGCACGAAAGCCGUGGGGGAGCAAACAGGAAUUAGAAUACCCCUGGGUAGUCCACGCCCCUAACGAUGUCAACCUAGUUUGUUGGGGGAAUUCAUUUUCCCUUAGUAACGUAGCUAACCCCGUGAAGUUUGAACCGCCCUGGGGGAGUACGG